ACGGAAUAGAUACCCAGGUAGUCCUGGCAGUAAACGGUGCGCGUUUGGUGUGGGGGGAUUCGACAAUCUCCGCGCCGGAGCUAAACGCGUUAAACGCGCCGCCUGGGAAAUACGGUCGCAAGAUUAAAACUCAAAGAAAUUGACGGGGGCCCGCACAAGCGGUGGAGUAUGUGGCUUAAUUCGAUGCAACGCGAAGAACCUUACCUGGGCUUGACAUGCAUCGCUAAGGCGGUGAAAGCCGCCGAGGGUAGCAAUACCUACUUUGCACAGGUGCUGCAUGGCUGUCGUCAGCUCGUGUCGUGAGAUGUUGGGUUAAGUCCCGCAACGAGCGCAACCCUUAUGAACUGUUGCAGCGACGCAAGUCGCGCUCUCUGUUCAGACCGCCCUGUGAAACGGGGAGGAAGGUGGGGAUGACGUCAAGUCAGCAUGGCCCUUACGCCCAGGGCUGCACACGUACUACAAUGCCCAGUACAGAGGGAGCCAAGCCGGCGACGGCAAGGAAAUCCCAAAAACUGGGCUCAGUUCAGAUUGC
rnacentral:rRNA from 1 species